rnacentral:rRNA from 1 species
GAUGAACGCUGGCGGCGUGCCUAAUACAUGCAAGUCGAGCGAACAGAUGAGGAGCUUGCUCCUCUGACGUUAGCGGCGGACGGGUGAGUAACACGUGGAUAACCUACCUAUAAGACUGGGAUAACUUCGGGAAACCGGAGCUAAUACCGGAUAAUAUAUUGAACCGCAUGGUUCAAUAGUGAAAGACGGUUUUGCUGUCACUUAUAGAUGGAUCCGCGCCGCAUUAGCUAGUUGGUAAGGUAACGGCUUACCAAGGCAACGAUGCGUAGCCGACCGGAGAGGGUGAUCGGCCACACGGGAACGGAACCACGGUCCAGACUCCUACGGGAGGCAGCAGUAGGGAAUCUUCCGCAAUGGGCGAAAGCCUGACGGAGCAACGCCGCGUGAGUGAUGAAGGUCUUCGGAUCGUAAAACUCUGUUAUUAGGGAAGAACAAAUGUGUAAGUAACUAUGCACGUCUUGACGGUACCUAAUCAGAAAGCCACGGCUAACUACGUG